AGAGUAUUUAUUUUUUUCUUAUUAUUUUUUUUUGGUUCAGAUGUAUAUCAUUGGCUACUAAUAUUGUUAAAAUAUUGAAGCGCUGACUUUUGACGAUAAUAAUAUUAACGCCAGAACAAAAAGCCUAUGGUGGUUACGUUAGUGGCGCUCUGAAAAUGGGCGAAGGGCUAAUAUGUAUAGAACAGAUAUAAAGUUUCCGCACAAUCUUCAGCGAUGAAUUUCUUGUGACGGCGAAUGCAAUGUUGGUCGACUUUCUAAUGAAACUGUAAGGAACUUUUUUUCCCUGCAUUUAUUGCUGACUGAAUUCCAAUUGCUUUCCAAAACAUGUGCAUAAAUUCGGAUAGAAUUCGGGUUCAGAUUCGAAACGUGCGAAUUACAUGAAACUAAAAAAAUAAUGCUUAACUAUACAUUCGAAUGACAUAAAUGCAGGGAUAACACCCUAAGUGCUAAGGCCAAGAAGUUCUACCCACUGGAAAAUCGUGAGUAAGCUGAACUUAAAGUUUAAAAAGGGGAGCACGCAAGGACUGCUAAUCGAAGCACAUGAAAUUUUUAGGAACGCGGAAUUUCUAACAGCUUUUGUGCGAUAAUGUUUACAGGCAGUUCUAUAGCGUAAAACUUCUAAGGAGUUCUUGUUUACCAGUUUGCACUAAGCUAUAGCCAUCGUCGUCGAUGAAUCGUGCAUUUCUCUGGUACGAGGCGGGAAUCUCCAUGAAGGCUCCAGCUCCCAGUUCGCAUAGUAAAAACCAUGUAUAAAGAUGUGUUUACGUUGUAGAUGCUCUGUUUGGUAAAAAGGGAAAAAAAUUUAUUAGAUGAGCACUUUUCGAUAGUGGAUAUAUGGCUUUGAGAAUUUGGAUCACAUAGGUCUACUUUUUUGCACCCCGACUCAUAUAGGCGUUAUGACGAAACGGAGACUUUUAUAUGGAGAGAAAAUCUCACCUUCCAAUAUUCGGGCUUUCAUGAGAAUUAUGGCUUUGCAUGAAACUAACAUGUGCUUUUUGAAGUAUUAUUAGCAAAACGAGCGAAUAACUCUACUAAGCGAAAUAGUGUAAGCUUGAUGCCUCGAUUUUUUGCUUAUCUACCGGUAUCAACUGCAGUCAAUGUGGCAAAAAUGCUGGAGUACAAACCAAAAUGUAAUGUAUCAUUUGCGUUUUCACGGUCCAGGUCCAUUAAAGACCUGGCGUCUCGAAACGAUGGCAGAAGAAUUUUUUAUCGUUUUGAAAAAAGUACUAUCGUUAUCUCAAACAACAUGCAAAUCUGACAUACCGUAUCCAACUUUCGUUUUAUACGCGAACCGGGUUCAUAACAUGUGAGGUCCUUCAAUUGAGGAGGGCGUCCUCAACGUAUCUUACUUGGCAUUUAGCCAGAUGAGCAUAUUAAAGGAGUUAUUAAAGCUGUUGUUUUUCGCGACGCUUAGGAUCUUCAGAAAAAAACCUUUGCACACCUCUCCUGUGGACGCAAUUCGUCUUUUCCUUUCAAGAAAGUACACUAAACUACGGCGAUCCAAGCGGUCAGAUCAAUUGUCACAAGAAACCGCAAUAUGAAAUAUGCAACAACAACAUGCUAUUUACCAAUGGCAGCAGCUUCUCUUCGAUACCUCCGUCGCUAGAACGACAACGUCAAAAUACGCUUGGAAACACAGCGGUUCGUUCCUCCCUUACGGGCCUGGGUAUCGAUUUUUGUUAUAAUAAAAGUACGCAAUCUUUCUCACCAUCCCGGCUAUUUCAUGACGAUUUAGCCAACUUGGUGGAUACAUCACUCAUCCACCGCAUUCAUCAUCCACCUCGAAGACGCCAUCGUUAGGUGAUACAAGUUUGACUAUUACUGUUACAAAAUCGAAUACCCCAUCUGAAAUUUUAACUUCCGUCACAUGUACAUCAACUAUAACUACCAAUAAAAGUUCUAGUAAUGGUGUGAAAUUAGAACCGAUAACUACAAGUAGCGAAUAAAGAGGAACAAUGAAAUCACGAAACUCUCUUCAAUAAAUCUUUAUAAAAAUCAAGCUAGCUUUCAAGAAAUCAGUUGUACAGCAAGUGAUGAUAAAAAUGCAUAUAUUCUGCCCAGGGCAGAUAUACACAUUUUAUUUCACGCAUAUAUAAAAUAUCGCCCGAUCGGCACAUAGAUCGCAUUCACAAUACUGCGAGAGAAUCUGCAUCACUGUUGAACACACAUCAAUUUAACAUUAUGUUACAGUAUUUUCGGUUAAACCGAUACCCAAAAGCAUAAAUACUAGAGGGAGAAACAUGUUGAAAAGGGCGUA